UUUUUCCUUCAAUUACUACAGUAUUAUGAUUCCAUAGAGCACAAUUUCUGCUGCAUGCACAGUCAGUAAUUGAAUUAUAGAGGAAAGCAUCUAUGGAGAUAUGUAAAAUCAAGAUUUCCAGCUUUUUAUGCAAGUGUUUUGCCCAUGGAAGCGAAGAAGCAGCUGUACUAGCUUAAGGCAGCAGAGAUUCUGCUAAAAAUAACACAGGCUUCCUUGUACUAUUUUUUGUCAAUGCCUUCAUUUCUUCUUCAGAAGCUGGAUGCAUCUGGCAGCCAGGAAGGGACUCCUAUCUCCUUUGAAUUUUAAUGUUGCUGAGAAACAGGGAGAAUGAGAUUGGGGGUUAUAUCUACAAUCUAAAAGGAAAAAAAACACAUCACAAAUUUCUUUGCAUUUUCCUGAGAAUUACUUAAAAAUCUUAACAACAAAACUUCUAAGAGAAGAAUGUGACAUUCUAUAUUUGAAAAUGGAUCAACACACCUUCUUGUGAGCAAUUUGGUGCUCCUUUACUCAUUCUGCAGGCACUGCCUUAUUCUUCACAUGGAUGACUCAUUCUCUUUCAGAACUGACAGGCCUAAAUGGGAUACAAGCAGCAACAAUGCUACGUUUAUCAAAUGUCAUCUUAUAAAGCGGCAAAGCAGCAGUAACAGUCUUACAUAGAGGGUUGGGAUGCUUGCUUCUUUGGGCUGCGCAGACAUACCCACAGAAACAGAGGGAGCCAGACCGAAACAGGAAGCGUGAGGCAGGAGAAAGCAAGGUCACACAAGCUGGGAAAGGGACUCCAUGAGAAAGAGACAACUCAGCAUGCAAUAGCCUGCAUGAGGCAGGGGACACUGAUGAUGCCUUAGGACUCCCAAGGGAAGGGUGAUCUAGAAAGUGGCAUUGCAGUUAAGAUAUUUGUUGUUUUAUAUGAUCUGUACUCUCCUGUGCUUUACGUGGUUAAGUUAAAGAGCAUUAAGGUGUUAAACUGUGGGCAAAGUGUCUCAAACACUUCACAACUACUGCAUGCAAAGAAAGUUAAAUUGUACCCCAGAAGCUUCACACCUUUCGGGUGGAGAUCUGGGAAGGGUAUGUUUUAACUGUGGGGGAGACUGAAGGGUCAGCCCUGUGCCCAGUGGGGAUAGGAGCUGGACAGUGGGUUCCAGCUCGGAAGGGAGUGUAAGACCGCAGGUCUGCACUCUGUGCUUAGGGAGCCCAAGAUUGGGGAAAAAGAAAAGGAGUACUUGUGGCACCUUAGAGACUAACCAAUUUAUUUGAGCAUGAGCUUUCGUGAGCUACAGCUCACUUCAUCAGAUGCAUACCGUGGAAACUGCAGCAGACUUUAUAUACACACAGAGAAUAUGAAACAAUACCUCCUCCCACCCCUCUGUCCUGCUGGGAAGUAACUGGACUUUGUUCAGGCUUGAGAAACUUAAAAGAGCUGGGAAUCCAGGGACACAGAGGCUUGAAUUCCCCUCAGAGCAGUCUGGUGGGUUGCCAGAAGGGAGCGCCCUGCCAGAUCUCUGAUAGAAAAUGACUACCAGCAGCACCCUGAAGUCCCCAGAAAGGAAUCACAAGCUGUUUGACUUUUCCCUACUUUCCCCAAAAAGCCUUGUAAAAUAUUGGGAGAAGAAGACUGAUGUGUAGCGGAAGAGAAGACGUGGGGCUUCCUUCAUCUGGAAAGUAGUGCUGUGCAGUGGAAGGGCCUUGGACUAGGAAUAAGAAGGCAUGGGUUCAAUUCUUGAUCUGUAACUGACCUGCGUGACUUUGGACAGGUCACUUCACCUUCCGUGCCUCUGUUUCCCCAGUGAAAAUGAUGAUUAUUUUUCCUUCUUUGUAAAUCACAGAGAUCUAUGGAAGUUAAGUGCUAUAUAAAAGCUAAGAAUUAUCUCCUUCCUCUGGAAUCCAUAUCAGAAAAUUUUUCAAAAUUUAAUGAAAAGUUUCAUUUUAAUGUUGAAUGGAUGAAAGUGAAAGUUGGAAUAUGGCAUUCCAUAUUUUUGUUCAAGUUUGCCCACCCCUUAUUGAAAUCACAGAGCAGUGAAUCUGAAAUAUAAUGUUCCAUGCUACUGCUUUUUCUGUUUUUCUUUUUAUAAAGGGAAUGCUUGAGCAAACUUGGGGAAAUGCACUUAUAGUACUAACUUCAAUACUUUUCUCAUACCUAUUAGAUUUAAAAAUAAUAUUCAUUUUCUUUCUGCUUAACAACAAGGAGAUCAAUUCUUUUCAAAGAACAGACAUGUUCAGUCUAUCAGUUUUAUCUAUAAUACUUUAAAAGCAGUUUAUAAUGAGCAUUCUGAUUUGGUUCUUAGUGUCAACCGAAGUGUCCAGAAAAUACCUUCUAUAAUAAAUGUAAACAAUUAAACCGAGUACUAAAAUGUUAUGUGAACCUUUGACUCUGAGAAAAAUGCACUCAAAAUGACUAAUACAUUGGGCUUUUGUAUUUGAAUUAUAUAACAAAUAAUCUGUGCCUGGAUGAGGGAGUGAUCUGCCCUUGCUAUGUUGUUUUGUUUUGCAAAGUGUAACUUUUAAAGAUUUAUUGGACAGUUUGUUUCAGCCAAUUGUAGGUUUUUUUUUAAAGAUUUUGCAGCUUGCUUUGUUCUCAAAAGUGUCAGCAGUUAUAAGUAAAAAAUAUAUUCAACCUGA